CCUAUAAAAACGCUGCAGUUUGUCUGACAUCUUCUCCAGUUCGUUGUUUCUGCAUCUUUCUCUGCAACAAUGGCAGCAGAUAAGGAAGAAGGAUGUGUUUUGCAUGAAUACUUGAUAGUCUGAUAAAGUCGUUAUAGGUUUGCUUUGGAUUCUUAGCCUUGGGGCAACCAAAUCGAGGCCUAAAGCAAGAAACAAGACCUCCAAUUGGAAAACAUAUAGAGUGCUCGACAAAAAGCCUGAACCAUUACUAGCUUAGUUCCAUUGGGUUGCUUCCAUGGAUUCGUUGGCUGUUUACAAUGAGUUAGAAGAAGAUUUUGAAGUUGAUAUGGAACUGAAGAUUGGGUAGUGUUCACUGAUCUGGGUUAGGGUUUAGGCGAGAAAUUAGUUGAUGGGGAUAAUUGUCUGCCAUCGAUCCACAGUGACGGAGGAAAUGACCUGUGUGCAAAGAACAACAUCAUCAACAACAACAAGAGAGGAUACUGAAACUAGGGCUGUUUAAGGUGCUUGGAUGGCAUUAUUUGUGCCUGCUGCAUCCAUGAUUAAGAGAUUACCUGCUGAAGGUGCUUGGAUGCCAUGCUAUCAGUUGGUAAUGUUCUCAUUGUUCUGUGAUGUGCUUUUCUAUAUGCUUAAUUUUGAACUUUAAUUUCACUGGUGGCUCAGGCCAUACGAUAUUCUUGCUUGCGCCAAUAUUACUUCUCCAUAACUCCAACUUAAUUGCUGGGUUCAAGGGUCGCUAGAGAUAUUUCUGUGUACUUAGUUGUGACUGCGGUUUACAGAAUAUGAGAACAGCUUUCGUACAUUUAUCUAGCAGACAAAGAUAGGAUGGCCUGACUGUUUAUUGCGAUCAAGCAUACUGCACUUUUUAACUUGACAUUCCCAAGUCAUAUCAUGUUCAACCAGUUUGCAAGGAUCCACAUAAAUCAGACAGAUGUAGACAACUUUAAGAUAUUGGGGUCUAUUACCUAUCCCAGUAGUACCUAAUGCCGAGACAUAAGAUCUACAGAAAUGAAAUAUAUUUAAAUCAACCAACAUUCACUCUGUACUACCUAUAAGUAAGUUUUCAAAUGAUAUAAUUAAAUCUCUCUCUUCGCCGGUAGCCUUUCAGUGGGUGAUAGGAGCUCUGAUCUGCACCGUUGUCUAGGAUUCAUGCAAGGUAGAACUACGUUUUAGUUUAUUCAACAUCUUCUAAAUUAACUAAUAUAUAUUAGUCAAAAACAAAAGAAUUCAGUAAGAUACUUGGUGUAGUUUCUUGAGAUAGAUUAGUAUUUUUCAAUGGGUGAUCUAAUUUGGCACACAAUACUGAAGCUCCUUACCCACCAAGAGGCAUUUCCCUUCAUGUUUAAUUAAAAUCAUUUAGCAGCAGUAUCACUCACUUCUUACCGAGGUUAAUGUUCAAUUAUUUGUUGACCUGCAGAUGAUACCCAUAAUGGGUUAAUGUGCUUACUGUUUUUGAUCUAAUAUACAUUUUUAAUUUGUCACACUCUAAGGUGAGUUUAUGAAUUAAUGUUUGUACACUCCUGUUUAUAGCCAUCCAACUUUGAGGCCCCCGUAAGAUCAUAUUGUUGUCUUAGCUAUUUAGCAUAACAUCAUAGCUAUCAGUUUAGCCCAAUUCCCGGUUAAUCAUCCUUGAAGAUGUCAAGAAAGUACACAUUAUUUGCUAUAUAAUUUGUUAGGCUGGCAAUUUAGUUCAUAUAAACUAUAUAGGAUGAUAGCCGACUGGCAAUUAGGCACUACAAAGGUUGAUGUUUUGUUCACUGAAGUAGAAUAAGAUAUCGAUAGUGAUGCAGGUCUAAAAGAUAAUGCGAGAUAACCAUUAUGGAGUUUGUACAAAGAUAAUUUAUACGGGUGGACAGAAUGACCUAGGGGUUCUAUUAUGCGUUAUCACACAAACCUGUGAACACAGGUAAAUUCCUAAUUUUCAUCUUACUUUUGUUCUUUGUUGUUAAGUAUCCCGAAUUUGCUAAGCUCAACACCUGCAAUGAUGAAUAGAAAUUAUUUUUUUUUGUUGUUAAGAUGUUUUCUUUUUUAUUUUGAUUUCUGAGUUUCUUUUCAUGUUCUUAUGACUCCAGUCUACUGGGAUUUCUUUGUUGGUCAUUGAUAACCGACAUAAAGAAAUUUGAUUAUAAUUAAAUUCGUGACUUUUUUCAACAAAUCCUUAACUCAUGGUGCUUAUAUUGGACAAACCCAAUCCUUGAUUUUGCUGUCAUGCGGCUGGGGUCGUUAGUGCGGGAGAGAUAUAACCUGCUGUCCGUUCCUUGGUUUCCUCAUAUAACUAUGUUUCGACCUUGAAACUAUGCAACUGUGGAACUAUCCUCACUGUGGUUUUGGGCGCAUUAGAGUUUCCAGUACUGCAUCGCUGCUUGAUUUCUAAAGCCAGUGGAAUCAUUGGACCCUUGGAACAAAGAUAGGGAAAGUGUUUCUGCACCAGGUUAGUGUUUCUGCUUUUCGUCCCAUUAUUUUAUAAUUUAGGACAAUCCCAAAACAAAGUGGUUAGAGGAUGGUUUUGCCGUUUACCUGUACGGGUGGCGGCGGACCAAGGAGUAUGGUACUAACACUAUCAGGAAUUGGUCUUUUAGUGUCUAUGUCCCAAAGAGUAUUGAUGUAGCAAUCAGUGAAGUGAAGUUGGAAGCAUACAACUUUGCAUCUUGAAAUAUUGUUCUUAUUCUGCUCUUACCUGGCUUACAUCGUUUGAAGUUUCUUUGAACUAUCCAAAGCUACAGUGAACUCCAUCAUUAAUGUGGUUGAUUUCUUAUUUGUGGUUAAAGUAAGUUAAAUCUGAAUAAUUUUUAUUGUAUCAACAUAAAUACACAA